GAAAAGCCCAGGACUGGAUGGAUAUACAGCAGAGUUUUACAAGAACUUUAAAGAAGAACUAAUACCAAUACUCCACAAUCUAUUUCAGGAGAUAGAAAAAGAGGGAGAACUUCCAAAUUCAUUCUAUGAGGCCAAUAUCACCCUGAUUCCCAAACCAGAUAAAGACACCUCAAAGAAAGAAAACUACAGACCAAUAUCCCUAAUGAAUUUAGAUGCAAAAAUCCUC
rnacentral:lncRNA from 1 species